AUCCAGCUGACGAGUCCCAAAUAGGACGAAACAUGCAU
rnacentral:hammerhead_ribozyme from 1 species